AAGUCGUAACAAGGUCUCCGUAGGUGAACCUGCGGAGGGAUCAUUAACACGUUCCAUACCAAUAUCAACCCAUCUGUGAACAUUUGUAUCCGCCAAUGGGCAGACACGGGAGUGCGGCGCACACUGAGGCUCAACGAUGAAGGUGGCAGAGGUGACUAUGGGAAGUGUGUCUCACACUUGUCAUAGUUCUCUGUCAUACGGGUCUAGUGUGCUGUGAUGUCAGUCUCUGAGCUGACAGUCGUCCCUGGGUUUGUUCGGCCCCCAUAUAUGUUUGCAGCGGUCAUCAUCUGCCGUUGUGAA
rnacentral:misc_RNA from 1 species